rnacentral:rRNA from 1 species
GACGAACGCUGGCGGCGUGCUUAACACAUGCAAGUCGAACGGGGCUUGCCCUUUGGGGUGGGUUUAGUGGCGAACGGGUGAGUAACACGUGGGUGACCUGCCCUCAGCUCUGGGAUAAGCCCGGGAAACUGGGUCUAAUACCGGAUAUGACUCCAUGACGCAUGUUGUGGGGUGGAAAGCCUUGUGCGGCUGAGGAUGGGCCCGCGGCCUAUCAGCUUGUUGGUGGGGUGAUGGCCUACCAAGGCGACGACGGGUAGCCGGCCUGAGAGGGCGACCGGCCACACUGGGACUGAGAUACGGCCCAGACUCCUACGGGAGGCAGCAGUGGGGAAUCUUGCGCAAUGGGCGAAAGCCUGACGCAGCGACGCCGCGUGAGGGAUGACGGCCUGG